UACGGAGGGGGCUAGCGUUGUCCGGAUUUAUUGGGCGUAAAGAGCGUGUAGGCGGCCAUGCAGGUCCGCUGUGAAAACUGGAGGCUUAACCUCCAGACGUCGGUGGAAACCGCAUGGCUAGAGUCCGGAAGAGGAGAGUGGAAUUCCCGGUGUAGCGGUGAAAUGCGCAGAUAUCGGGAAGAACACCCGUGGCGAAGGCGGCUCUCUGGGACGGUACUGACGCUGAGACGCGAAAGCGUGGGGAGCGAACAGG
rnacentral:rRNA from 1 species